AAAAAUAGUCAUCUUCUCAAUUAGUUUCUGUCGAUUUUUGCUCUCCUCCAUAGCUGGGGUUUCUUCAACUUUCAAGCUUCAUAUACUUAUCUAGUCACUCGGGGAUCGAAGAAAACGUCGGAGGCUGAUCACACUAUCAAAGAAAUAACUCGGUAUAAUUAGACGUUUUGUUUUGGGUAUGGCAUGUAUAGAAACUUAGCUACUUUUGGCAUAAUAUGAACAAUGAAUGAUGUGUAAAUACUUGCUAGUGAUUAGCUAAUAAAAUAGCCGAUGAUAUACAUGUUUAAUAA